rnacentral:miRNA from 1 species
UGUUGGAUGAUGUCAAUAAGU